UGAUUUUCAAAAAUAGUAGGUUUGAAGGAUUUCCUAAGGAACAGGAGACCACUGUGUAGUGGCAUGAGAAAGGGCACUGCAUAAGAUUUGGCUUAGCCCUAGAUAGGUCUUGUAGGUUAGUUUUGUAUGUGUAAAUGGAGAUUGUGGGUAGACUUAGUCUGAUCUGCUGGCAGAAAAAAAGGUGUUGUGUUAGUGUUUUUGGUGAUUAGUGAUGAUAUCUUUGUAUCAGUAUGGAG